rnacentral:rRNA from 1 species
AAGCGUGCGCAGGCGGUUUUGUAAGACUGUCGUGAAAUCCCCGGGCUCAACCUGGGAAUGGCGAUGGGUGACUGCAAGGCUAGAGUUUGGCAGAGGGGGGUAGAAUUCCACGUGUAGCAGUGAAAUGCGUAGAUAUGUGGAGGAACACCGAUGGCGAAGGCAGCCCCCUGGGUCAAAACUGACGCUCAUGCACGAAAGCGUGGGGAGCAAACAGGAUUAGAUACCCUUGU